AAAUUGAAGAGUUUGAUCAUGGCUCAGAUUGAACGCUGGCGGCAGGCCUAACACAUGCAAGUCGAACGGUAACAGGAAGCAGCUUGCUGCUUUGCUGACGAGUGGCGGACGGGUGAGUAAUGUCUGGGAAACUGCCUGAUGGAGGGGGAUAACUACUGGAAACGGUGGCUAAUACCGCAUAACGUCGCAAGACCAAAGAGGGGGACCUUCGGGCCUCUUGCCAUCAGAUGUGCCCAGAUGGGAUUAGCUAGUUGGUGAGGUAACGGCUCACCAAGGCGACGAUCCCUAGCUGGUCUGAGAGGAUGACCAGCCACACUGGAACUGAGACACGGUCCAGACUCCUACGGGAGGCAGCAGUGGGGAAUAUUGCACAAUGGGCGCAAGCCUGAUGCAGCCAUGCCGCGUGUAUGAAGAAGGCCUUCGGGUUGUAAAGUACUUUCAGCGGGGAGGAAGGUGUUGUGGUUAAUAACCGCAGCAAUUGACGUUACCCGCAGAAGAAGCACCGGCUAACUCCGUGCCAGCAGCCGCGGUAAUACGGAGGGUGCAAGCGUUAAUCGGAAUUACUGGGCGUAAAGCGCACGCAGGCGGUCUGUCAAGUCGGAUGUGAAAUCCCCGGGCUCAACCUGGGAACUGCAUUCGAAACUGGCAGGCUUGAGUCUUGUAGAGGGGGGUAGAAUUCCAGGUGUAGCGGUGAAAUGCGUAGAGAUCUGGAGGAAUACCGGUGGCGAAGGCGGCCCCCUGGACAAAGACUGACGCUCAGGUGCGAAAGCGUGGGGAGCAAACAGGAUUAGAUACCCUGGUAGUCCACGCCGUAAACGAUGUCUACUUGGAGGUUGUGCCCUUGAGGCGUGGCUUCCGGAGCUAACGCGUUAAGUAGACCGCCUGGGGAGUACGGCCGCAAGGUUAAAACUCAAAUGAAUUGACGGGGGCCCGCACAAGCGGUGGAGCAUGUGGUUUAAUUCGAUGCAACGCGAAGAACCUUACCUGGUCUUGACAUCCACAGAAGUUUCCAGAGAUGGAUUUGUGCCUUCGGGAACUGUGAGACAGGUGCUGCAUGGCUGUCGUCAGCUCGUGUUGUGAAAUGUUGGGUUAAGUCCCGCAACGAGCGCAACCCUUAUCCUUUGUUGCCAGCGGUUAGGCCGGGAACUCAAAGGAGACUGCCAGUGAUAAACUGGAGGAAGGUGGGGAUGACGUCAAGUCAUCAUGGCCCUUACGACCAGGGCUACACACGUGCUACAAUGGCGCAUACAAAGAGAAGCGACCUCGCGAGAGCAAGCGGACCUCAUAAAGUGCGUCGUAGUCCGGAUUGGAGUCUGCAACUCGACUCCAUGAAGUCGGAAUCGCUAGUAAUCGUGGAUCAGAAUGCCACGGUGAAUACGUUCCCGGGCCUUGUACACACCGCCCGUCACACCAUGGGAGUGGGUUGCAAAAGAAGUAGGUAGCUUAACCUUCGGGAGGGCGCUUACCACUUUGUGAUUCAUGACUGGGGUGAAGUCGUAACAAGGUAACCGUAGGGGAACCUGCGGUUGGAUCACCUCCUUACCUUAAAGAA
rnacentral:rRNA from 1 species